rnacentral:rRNA from 1 species
AGCGAACGCUGGCGGCAGGCUUAACACAUGCAAGUCGAGCGGGCGUAGCAAUACGUCAGCGGCAGACGGGUGAGUAACGCGUGGGAACGUACCUUUUGGUUCGGAACAACACAGGGAAACUUGUGCUAAUACCGGAUAAGCCCUUACGGGGAAAGAUUUAUCGCCGAAAGAUCGGCCCGCGUCUGAUUAGCUAGUUGGUGAGGUAAUGGCUCACCAAGGCGACGAUCAGUAGCUGGCUGAGAGGAUGAUCAGCCACAUUGGGACUGAGACACGGCCCAAACUCCUACGGGAGGCAGCAGUGGGGAAUAUUGGACAAUGGGCGCAAGCCUGAUCCAGCCAUGCCGCGUGAGUGAUGAAGGCCCUAGGGUUGUAAAGCUCUUUUGUGCGGGAAGAUAAUGACGGUACCGCAAGAAUAAGCCCCCGGCUAACUUCGUGCCAGCAGCCGCAGU